UAUGCUGAGAACUGAUAGCAAGCUGUACUUGUACAGUGAAGUGGCUGAUACCAUGCUUCCAGGAAAAGUCUCUAAGCUUCAGUUACAUAGGAAUCGUACCCGAAACCGACACAGGUGGUCAGGUCGAGUAGACCAAAGCGCUUGAGAGAACUCUGCUGAAGGAACUAGGCAAAAUGGUACCGUAACUUCGGGAGAAGGUACGCUGCCGACGGUGAUAGGAUUUACUCCUUGAGCUAUUGGCAGCCACAGAAACCAGGCCCCUGCAACUGUUUAUUAAAAACAUAGCACUCUGCAAACACGAAAGUGGACGUAUAGGGUGUGAUGCCUGCCCGGUGCUGGAAGGUUAAUUGAUGGGGUUAGCGUAAGCGAAGCUCUUGAUCGAAGCCCCAGUAAACGGCGGCCGUAACUAUAACGGUCCUAAGGUAGCGAAAUUCCUUGUCGGGUAAGUUCCGACCUGCACGAAUGGCAUAAUGAUGGGGGCGCUGUCUCCAGCAGAGACUCAGUGAAAUCGAAUUCGCCGUGAAGAUGCGGUGUACCCGCGGCUAGACGGAAAGACCCCGUGAACCUUUACUGCAGCUUGACAUUGAACUUUGAUCUUACUUGUGUAGGAUAGGUGGGAGGCUUUGAAACCGAGACGCUAGUUUCGGUGGAGCCAAUCUUGAAAUACCACCCUGGUAAUAUUGAGGUUCUAACUCUGUCCCGUUAUCCGGGACGAGGACCAUGUCUGGUGGGUAGUUUGACUGGGGCGGUCUCCUCCUAAAGAGUAACGGAGGAGUACGAAGGUGCGCUCAGCGUGGUCGGAAAUCACGCGUAGAGUAUAAAGGCAAAAGCGCGCUUAACUGCGAGACCCACAAGUCGAGCAGGUACGAAAGUAGGUCUUAGUGAUCCGGUGGUUCUGUAUGGAAGGGCCAUCGCUCAACGGAUAAAAGGUACUCUGGGGAUAACAGGCUGAUACCGCCCAAGAGUUCAUAUCGACGGCGGUGUUUGGCACCUCGAUGUCGGCUCAUCUCAUCCUGGGGCUGAAGCAGGUCCCAAGGGUAUGGCUGUUCGCCAUUUAAAGAGGUACGCGAGCUGGGUUUAGAACGUCGUGAGACAGUUCGGUCCCUAUCUACCGUGGGCGUUGGAAAUUUGAGAGGAUCUGCUCCUAGUACGAGAGGACCAGAGUGGACGAACCUCUGGUGUACCGGUUGUGACGCCAGUCGCAUCGCCGGGUAGCUAUGUUCGGAAGGGAUAACCGCUGAAAGCAUCUAAGCGGGAAGCCUACCUCAAGAUAAGAUUUCCCUAGGACUUUAUGUCCUCUAAAGAGCCGUUGAAGACUACGACGUUGAUAGGUUGGAUGUGGAAGCAUAGUGAUAUGUGAAGCUGACCAAUACUAAUUGCUCGUGAGGCUUGACUAUACAACACCCAAACAGUUGG
rnacentral:rRNA from 1 species